rnacentral:lncRNA from 1 species
AUGCACAAUUUGAUGUCCUUAAAGUUAAGAUUUCAGUGUAUAGACACUUUAAGGUGGAAUCAUUUUUGGAUGCCGUUUGUCCUGGUUUUCAUUUUGGAUCUCUUCUCCUGCACCUCCCCUCCCCCCACCCUUGCAGGAGCACCGUGCGGCAAGUCACCAGGGUGGUCCGUCCAAGCUGCGGAUUUGUGUGUCGUCCUUGUAAGGCAGUCUCCUCCUCCGCGGCCCCUACAGGGAAGUGCCUCACAUAUCAGCACACCGGAGCAAAAUGAAAGAAUUUAUUCUGAGGCCUCAAAAGUAGAGCUGCUACAGACCCUGAGCAAGAAGCAGUGGACUUCUGCCUGCACGGAUGGUCUUGAAACACGAACGGUUGUGGCCUCGGUCUGGAGGUGGAAUUCAAGGCUCCAAAUGAUAAAGAAACAACAAAUGACACCAAAAUAUUGUGGCGUUCCAAGGCAGUUUGAUCAGCCUAGUUGACUGUAGUUCUUAGAAGCAGUCUUCAAAUGGAAGCCAGUUCUCCCCACCUAUCUUGGUGACCUCGGACAUCUUCCUCAUCCUCGUGGAAUGGGUCACUUCUAAAAAACUCCAGUGCGUGCCUCGAUGACCUCCAAGGCCUCUUGCAAGUCUAAAAAUUCCACAGUUCACUCUGCUGAAAUUAAUUAAUUAUCCCCUUUGAUGCUUGCUCAGCUGAAUCGAUCGUGAGCCCUUCUCAGAUCAUCUUUGGCAGGGAGGCUCAUUGGAUGGGCCAGUGUGAAGAAAAAGGGCCAGGCACUUUGGGGUCCUUUCUCCCUACUUCUCCCUACGGUCUUGUGAACCAGCCUUGUGGUCAAACACGCCUUGCGGUUUCUGUGGUUAGUAAUGCAUUCCCUUGUGGCAUUAAAGACAACGUGGAACAUUGUUACAUGAAUAUAAUAGAAUAUAAUGUUGUCCUUUAGUUUUCUGUUGGGGAUCUCACUCUUCCUUCUCUGUUUGCUGUCACUGUCUUAUGGGUUAUAUCUGCCAGUCCCUGAACCCUGUGGAGCCCCAAACUUUGUUUUACAUUGAACAGAAUUUAUUUUUCUUUCUUGCUAAACAUCUCUUCUCCGAAGCAGAGCUAUGAAUGACACUUGAAAUGCUGCUCGGAUGUCACUCUUGUUAGCAGCUGGCUGUCUGCCUCCGAGUAGUGCAUUAUUUGGGUUUCGUGACAGCAUUUUUUUUUUUCUCUUACAAAUGUUAAAUUAUGAAGUGCAGGAAACCACAUGAAUGCGGCGGAAUGAAAAGGCGAACAUGGUGUUAUCUGGAAAUGCCAGUGUUAUGGUUCUCCUGGUGACGGUCCCCUCCCGACGCUCAACAUACUGAGCCUGUGUACCUGCUUGGGGGCAGGCUUCUAACUCCUGUCUUGAGCUUCACUAACGCUGUGUGCCAUGGCCCCCUUGUCACACUGAGUCAGGAGGUUUGGUUAAGGCGGUUGCACGGGGCUGUCUCUUUCUAUGCAGGU